rnacentral:lncRNA from 1 species
CGUCCAUUGAUUGAGCGAGUCAGUCCCUAUCCAUCGAUCCAUCUCAUCCACCGGCCAAAGCUUGAGAGUGUUAUACAACCAGCAAGAUUAGCUCCAUUACAUCCAUCAAUCCGACCAUUUCUUCUCACCUUAUCACCUUCAUUAUUCUAUGUUCAUUAUUAGUUUCAUUCAUACUCAUCUCAUUUGCAUUUGUUUCGGGUUCAUAUGGUUCAAAGAAUCUUAAAUCGGCUCCCAUCGGCUCUUGUCGAUUACUCGACCAUUGAACAAUCAGCAGUCUGGUUCCUCCUUCAACCAAUUUGUGGGUUACCCCCGCCCCGUUCCUACAACAAUUCUGGUGCUUCCUUUCAUGCCACCCCUCAUGGAAGCU